UGAGAUUCCCUGGUGUUUUCA
rnacentral:siRNA from 1 species